ensembl:lncRNA LINC03048 long intergenic non-protein coding RNA 3048
GAACAAGAGGGGCGUGCAGAGCGGCUUUUUGGCCUCAGUUAACUCUUAAAUGGGUGUCAGAGGCACUGUCUUCCCCUAGCUAUGCGCCUCGUGCCUGGGAGCCUUAGGGCCACACGGAAGGGUAGAAAUCAGUUUCAGAGAUUCCUGCUCCCAGCCCAGGCCCAGACGGCAACAGAAGCUCAUGGAAUGGCAGACUCUGGACAUGCUCCUAGAGAUGGGAGGUCAAAAUGAUCAACGUUCAGGGUCCCUUCAUCUCAGAGGGUCUCGAGUCACCUCAUUUAAAGUGUGGCCUGGGACACCUCCUAUCCAGCCAUACGCCGCCCAGGACUGGCUCAACAGCUCCACCCUCCACUGCUGUUCACCCAUGACACGUCACUUCCCACCCGCCACUGCUGGCUCACCUGUGACACCCCAGGCAGCUCAGAUGCCCGGCAGGUCCUGCUGGUGUGUGUUAGCCGGGGUCUCCAAAGAACCAGAGCCAGCAGGGGACACACCCAUCUCUGUAUCUGGAGAAAAAGAUCGAUGAGAAGGAAUCUGCUCCUGUGAUGAUGGAGGCUGACAAGUCCCGAGAGCCACGGUUGGCACCCUGGAGACCCCUGAGGGUGAUACCACCACUCCAGGCUGAAAGCUGGCAGGCUUGAGACCCUGGGAGAGCUGGCCCUCUGACUCCUGGGACUUCUUAUUCUAUCCUAGUAUUUCCUCAGCUGAGUGCAUGGGGCCAGACCACACUGGGGAGGGCAGUCAGCGUCACUCAGAGCACCGGGUCAUCUCAUGCAGAAACACCCUCAAAGAAAUAGCCCAAAUUAUGCUGACCAAAUAUCUGGGCACCCCGUGCCCCAGACAAGUUGACACAGAAAAUUAACCAUCACAGGUUAACUCCAUCCAGGAGUGGAAUUGCUGGGUCAUAGAGAAGGCAUAGGAAUUCACAGAAAUCACCAAACGGUUUUCAGGCGGUUGUGCCAUGUUAAACUCCCACUGGAAAGAGAGGAGAGCUGUGAUUGUUCCACGUCCUCAGCAACGUUUAGAAUAGGCAGUCUUUGGCCGGGCCGGGCACAGAGGCUCAAACCUGUAACCCCAGCACUUUGGGAGGCCAUAGUGGGUGGAUUACCUGAGAUCAAGAGUUCAAGACCAGCCUGGCCAACAUGGUUAAACCCCGUCUCUAUUAAAAAUGCAAAAAUUAGCCAGGCGUGGUGGUGCGUGCCUGUAAUUCCAGCUACUUGGGGGCUGAGGCAGGAGAAUCGUUUGAACCCAGGAGGCAGAGUUUGCAGCGAGCCGAGAUCGCGCCACUGCACUCCAGCCUGGGCAACAGAAUGAGACUCUGUCUCCAAAAAAAGAAAAAAUAAAUAAAGAAAAGUCAUUCUG